GACGAACGCUGGCGGCGUGCUUAACACAUGCAAGUCGAGCGGUAAGGCCCUUUCGGGGGUACACGAGCGGCGAACGGGUGAGUAACACGUGGGUGACCUGCCCUUAGCUCUGGGAUAAGCCUGGGAAACUGGGUCUAAUACCGGAUAUGACUCCAUGACGCAUGUUGUGGGGUGGAAAGCCUUGUGCGGCUAGGGAUGGGCCUGCGGCCUAUCAGCUUGUUGGUGGGGUGACGGCCACCAAGGCGACGACGGGUAGCCGGCCUGAGAGGGCGACCGGCCACACUGGGACUGAGACACGGCCCAGACUCCUACGGGAGGCAGCAGUGGGGAAUCUUGCGCAAUGGGCGAAAGCCUGACGCAGCGACGCCGCGUGGGGA
rnacentral:rRNA from 1 species